rnacentral:lncRNA from 1 species
CUUCAAACGUUGUUGUUGGAUUGCUGCUGCGCUGCAUGCGCGAGAAGUGCUUCACUUCCGCACACUAAUAUGAACAGUAUAUACGAAGACCACAGCUAAAGACCACAGCUAAACACCACAGCUAUCCGGAGAAAAAUGAUACAGUUAUCACUUUUCGUCCACAAGAGUCAGUUUUUGAACGAUGGAGUCAGAUCCCACUUGAAAUCAAAAAGGAGGCUGGACAGCGGAUGAAAAUCUGUGUCUUUUGGCUUCCUAUUCUAUUGCAGCGGGACGAGUCCAGCAAUGCUGUUUGCUGGGCUGCAGAAAUAGGUCUAAUCAGCUCAAAGAACACAGAGGACCUACGUCUGAAGCACCUGCGCAAGAUUGAGACAGUGGAGACAAUCCUCAGAGCCUUGGAGCAAGGAUCU